AGCUGUUAGAAGAGGAGCAGAAGCAGAAGACAGCCAUGGAGCUGCUUGAUCAAUACCUUCAAUUCAAAGGGGAAGCCGAGAAAGAGAACAAGAAGAAGAAGAAAGAGAAGGAUCCAUUGAAGCCCAAGCAUCCUAUGUCUGCAUUCUUUCUCUUUUCAAAUGAGAGGCGUGCAUCCCUUCUUGCCGAAAACAAGAAUGUUCUAGAGGUAGCGAAGAUAACAGGUGAGGAGUGGAAGAACAUGACAGAGAAACAGAGAGGUCCUUACGAA